AGGGUUUGAUUAUGGCUCAGGACGAACGCUGGCGGCGCGCUUAACACAUGCAAGUCGAGCGAUGAAAUUUCGACAGAACCCUUCGGGGUGAAGAUGAAAUGGAUUAGCGGCGGACGGGUGAGUAACACGUGAGUAACCUGCCUUUGACAUUGGGAUAGCCUCGGGAAACUGGGAUUAAUACCAAAUGACACUAACUGAUCACAUGAUCAAUUAGUCAAAGAAAUUCGGUCAAAGAUGGACUCGCGGCUGAUUAGCUAGUUGGUGAGGUAACGGCCCACCAAGGCGACGAUCAGUAGCCGGCCUGAGAGGGUGACCGGCCACAUUGGAACUGAGACACGGUCCAA
rnacentral:rRNA from 1 species